UACGUAGGGGGCGAGCGUUGUCCGGAUUUAUUGGGCGUAAAGAGCUCGUAGGCGGUUUGGUAAGUCGGGUGUGAAAUCUCCACGCUCAACGUGGAGGGGCCACUCGAUACUGCCAUGACUCGAGUCCGGUAGAGGAGUGUGGAAUUCCCGGUGUAGCGGUGAAAUGCGCAGAUAUCAGGAGGAACACCGGUGGCGAAGGCAGGUCUCUGGGCCACUACUGACGCUGAGAAGCGAAAGCAUGGGGAGCGAACAGG
rnacentral:rRNA from 1 species